rnacentral:rRNA from 1 species
UGCGUAGGCGGAACUUUAAGUCAGUGGUGAAAGCUCUCGGCUCAACCGAGAAAUUGCCAUUGAAACUGAUUUUCUUGAAUACAGUUGAGGUAGAUGGAAUAUAACAUGUAGCGGUGAAAUGCUUAGAUAUGUUAUAGAACACCGAUUGCGAAGGCAGUCUGCUAAGCUGUUAUUGACGCUGAGGCACGAAAGCGUGGGGAGCAAACAGGAUUAGAUACCCUGGUAGUCCACGCCCUAAACGUUGAUUACUCGCUGUUGGCGAUACACUGUCAGCGGCUAAGCGAAAGCGUUAAGUAAUCCACCUGGGAAGUACGACCGCAAGGUUGAA